CAUUUCAACCAAAUAAAAUCAAUCCAUAUAAAUCGAGUAAUCAACUUGGCUUAUGAAUUUCUUAAAACUUUGGCUCGUGCCAAAACUCAUACUCGGUGAUACCUUGCGUAGGGCAUCCAACCAAGUCCGCCAAGGCUGUUAAAAUUUUUGUAUACACUUAAAAUAUAUUUUUAGUUUGAGAAAAAUACAGCCGUUCCUUGGCGUUGGCUGAGUUCCCCUUCACGUGGUGGUUUGGCG
rnacentral:lncRNA from 1 species